GGCCUGGUGGUGUAAUGGUAAAACACCUGCUUGCAUUAUCUGGGUUUUCGGGAGUUUUAAGCAGUGGAUCCUUGUUUGACUCAAGGCCAGGCCA